rnacentral:rRNA from 1 species
AUUGAACGCUGGCGGCAUGCUUUACACAUGCAAGUCGAACGGUAACAGGCCGCAAGGUGCUGACGAGUGGCGAACGGGUGAGUAAUGCAUCGGAACGUGCCCAGUCGUGGGGGAUAACGCAGCGAAAGCUGGGCUAAUACCGCAUACGAUCUGUGGAUGAAAGCGGGGGACCUUCGGGCCUCGCGCGAUUGGAACGGCCGAUGUCAGAUUAGGUAGUUGGUGGGGUAAAGGCUCACCAAGCCGACGAUCUGUAGCUGGUCUGAGAGGACGACCAGCCACACUGGGACUGAGACGCGGCCCAGACUCCUACGGGAGGCAGCAGUGGGGAAUUUUGGACAAUGGGCGCAAGCCUGAUCCAGCAAUGCCGCGUGCAGGAAGAAGGCCUUCGGGUUGUAAACUGCUUUUGUACGGAGCGAAAAGGUUCCCUCUAAUACAGGGGGCUCAUGACGGUACCGUAAGAAUAAGCACCGGCUAACUACGUGCCAGCCGCCGCGGUAAUAC